rnacentral:lncRNA from 1 species
CGAUAACGCUUUUUGUGCCCUGUGCGCCUGGUGCGCACUUGCGACUCCGCGAUCUGACGCAAAAACGGAUAUGCAACAUUUUGAACAGUCACGUCUCAGCGACCUGACAUUGCGAUUUCAGCAUAAUGCAAUGAAAUUUAUGCGCUGUGUGCUAUAUCAUACCACCCAGUGAUCGCAUCGCGCAGGGCUGGGUUCUCUCGAGGUACGAGGCCGGGGUCCUUGUGCUGCGGGACGUGGUGAAUAAGGGCGUUGAGAGUCAGCCGCCUUGGUAGAGCAGUAAGGAGGGCCCGCCGAUCUUGCUACCAUCCUCCCCUGCGGUUCUUCGGAGGCCUAGUCACCGGGUGUCGUGGCAGGAUCUCCCCGUUCGCGCACUUUUUCAGUUGGCCCCAGCGCUGUGCAUGGAUAGGUGCGGUGUUACCCCCUCUGCGGUUUAUACCUCCCUUGGACUAGCCCAGGAAAGGAGAGGCGGGGUUGGGAAGUGGUCUCAGGAGACUGUUGGACGUCUUAUGGUGUGCGCUCUUUCUGUUUGAGACUUAUUGGAGCUUAUUGGACCUCUCCAGUCCGGGAUGACUCGUCGGGCUCCGGUUGCGCAGGUCCUGAACGCAUGCUCUUUGAGGUUGUUCCUGUACUUUCUGCCCGUAGGAAGAACUCCCCGGGUGCGACUUUGUUUCUGUUAGGUGACCAGCGGACCUAGAGCCCGUUUAGCUGCAGCGCUGCCCCCCGGUAGAGAACGCUGCUAAGUGCCUGCCGUCGUAUCUCGCGCGUGGGCGGAAUGUGCGAGAUUAACCAGCCGCGUGCGCCUGGGGGCCCCGCGCUGUGUUUCGGCCCUGGGCCCCCGACUUUUAAGCCCACAGUGUAAUGAAC